rnacentral:rRNA from 1 species
AGGGCACCACCAGGAGUGGAGCCUGCGGCUUAGUUUGACUCAACACGGGAAAACUCACCCGGCCCGGACACUGGAAGGAUUGACAGAUUGAGAGCUCUUUCUUGAUUCAGUGGGUGGUGGUGCAUGGCCGUUCUUAGUUGGUGGAGUGAUUUGUCUGGUUAAUUCCGAUAACGAACGAGACUCUAGCCUACUAAAUAGAUAGUCGGCUUACAAACGUCGACUAGACUUCUUAGAGGGACAGGCGGUGAUUCAACCGCACGAAACAGAGCAAUAACAGGUCUGUGAUGCCCUUAGAUGUCCGGGGCCGCACGCGCGCUACACUGAAGUGAUCAGCGUGCUUUUUCAGCCUACUCUGUCAAGAGUGGGAAACCCAAUGAACCUUCUUCGUGAUUGGGAUAGGGGAUUGUAAUUAUUCCCCUUGAACGAGGAAUUCCCAGUAAGCGCGAGUCAUAAGCUCGCGUUGAUUACGUCCCUGCCCUUUGUACACACCGCCCGUCGCUACUACCGAUUGAAUGUUUU